UUCCUUUACCUUCACAUUUGUAUUAGCCUAGACUUAUUUACUAAUCUACCUCCAAACCUAUCAAGGAGAGGACCAUGAGGGUGUCAAUUAUCCAUCCAUAGAAAAGUGUUCUCCCCAUUCCCUAUUCGACAGUAGGUAGAGAUCCAGUUAACCCAAACAGAGUUGUAUGUGUUUAGGUGUAAUACCCUCAG